rnacentral:misc_RNA from 1 species
GAUGAAGAACGCAGCGAAAUGCGAUAAGUAAUGUGAAUUGCAGAAUUCAGUGAAUCAUCGAAUCUUUGAACGCACCUUGCGCCCUUUGGCUAUUCUGAAGGGCAUGCCUGUUUGAGUAUCAUGAACACCUCAACUCUCAUGGUUUGCCAUGAUGAGCUUGGACUUUGGGGGUCUUGCUGGCCUACGGUCGGCUCCUCUCAAAUGAAUCAGCUUGCCAGUGUUUGGUGGCAUCACGGGUGUGAUAACUAUCUACGCUUGUGGUUUCCCACCAGGUAACCUUCAGUGAUGGAGGUUCGCUGGGGCUCAUAAAUGUCCCUCCACAGUGAGGACAGCUUUUGAACGUUUGAUCUCAAAUCAGGUAGGACUACCCGCUGAACUUAAGCAUAUCAAUAAGCGGAGGA